rnacentral:lncRNA from 1 species
AUGUUAACAAACAAAAAAUCAAAUUAUAUAUAUAAAGUAAUCCCAUUUUUUAAAAAUGGCGAAGCGAAAUUUUAUAUGCGAACAUUUGAUGCUUAUAAUUUUGUUCGGAAAAAUGGUAUUAACUUAAAUUUUAACACAAGUGAUUAUAAUAAAAGUGAAAUUGAAGAUAUAAAUAAUAACAUAAACAAAAAUUUUUUAAAAAAAACACAACUAAAUAAAAACACAUUAAAAUUUGUCGACGUAAAAUCCAUUAAAAAUGAAAGUAUGUACCCAUGUAGUACUCAUAUAGAUAUACCAACCAAAUCAGAUACAACUGUUUGUUUAAACACACCAAACACUAAUGAAGAAAAACAGGAGGGUAUAAAAAAAAUACAUAUGAACAAUGAUAAAAUUGGAAGUGAUAAAAUUGGAAGUGAUAAAAUUGAAAGUGAUAAAAUUGGAAGUGAUAAAACUGGAAGUGAUGAUAAAAACACAAUUUACGACUUGAAUGAUACAAUAAAAUCAAAUGAAAAAAUAAACUUAACAUGUGAUAAUGUUUUUCUUUCAUAUUUAGUCGAUAAUAAACUUAUUCCCAAAUUUUAUAACAUAGUUCCUGUUUUUAAAUGUGUUAAUAAUAACCAGCAAAUGGGAAAAAAAAAAAAAAAAAAAAUAAUAAUAAAAAAUAAACCUGAUAAUAUACAGCACGAUUCUUCAACGAGUGUACAACACGCUAUACCUACUAAUACUAAAAAUUUAUAUUUCAUUGACAAAGAUAACUUAAAUAACAAACUAUAUGUAGGGGUACAUAGUGAUAGUUGUACAGAUAAACUUAACGGUAUUGCAAAAAGUAACAUACCAACAGAAGUUAAUAAAAACAAUUUAUUGAGUGAAGAAAAUAAAAGUGAUAAUUCAUUUGGGGAAAAUCGAGGAAGUCAUUCAGGCAUGGAAAGUCAAUCAAACAAUGCAAACUACUCAGGAGUGGACAGUCAGUUAAAAAAUGCAAACCACUCAGGAUGUGAGUGUUGUCCAACUAGUAAACAAUCCGAUGUCGAAAAAUGGGAAAUUGGGAAUUUAUAUGAUGUAAAACAUAGAAACAUGAAUGAAAUACUUUUCGCUUUAAGAUUAAAAAAAAUAUGCAAAAAAAUAAAACAGUGUGACCAACAACUAUUAGAUUUAAAAUUAGGAUAUAAUACAUUAAAAGAUAACGAUCUUUUAUUUAAUAAAGAUUUAUAUGAAAAAAUGGAAUUAUUAAAUAUAUCAGAAAAGGAAAAAUAUGCAAAUAAUUGGUCAAAAAUGAAAAAAGAAAUAAAAUAUUUACAUAAAAAUAGUAAUGAUCAACAAAUAGUUUAUAUAUCACCUAAUGAUUUGAAAUUACCUAAUUGUUUUUCGCAAUAUGAUAAAAACGAAAUUUAUUCAUUUUUAAAAUCGUGUAAACAAGAAAUAACAUCAGUAAAAACUACUCAAAGAACAUUAGGAUUUCGUAUAUGUUCAUUAAUUUAUUAUAUUAAUUAUAAUAAAAUAUUAAAAGAUGCACAAAUAAAUGAUUUUUAUUAUGAUUAUAUCUUAAAAAAUAAUAUUAUUCAUUUACAAAAAUUAGAAAAUAUGGAAAAAAUAAAAAAAUAUUCCAAAAUAAAAAAAGUUACUAUUAAAGAAUGUUAUGAUAAAAAAAAAAAUAGAUUAAAAAUUAAUAGAGAAAUUGGAUUAAAAUUAAGUGAAGAUCAAGUUUUAUAUUUUCUUAUUUUAUUUUUAAAAAAUAUUGUUCAAACAAUUUUGUCCAAAUUAUUGAAAUUAAAAAUAUGGUUAGAACAACAGCGUUUAUACUCUUUUUGUUCUACUUCUUUAUUAAUUAUAUAUAAUAAAAAUAAUCCAUUUUUUUGUGAUAUUAAAUGGAUUGAUUUUACUUAUGCCUUUGAACAUUCUGAUGUCUUUAACAAAAAGGAGAUAUUACCUGUACCUAACCAAACAUUAAAUAUGGAUAUUAUUUUUGGUAUAAAUAAUUUAAUUAAAAUAUGCAAAACUGUUUUCUCUGAUCAAAAUGUCCCACCCUUUAUUUUGUUUGUACCAACAGAAAACGUACUAGUUGAGAAAGAAAUUAGUGCAGAAUAAGCAAAUUUUUUUUCUUUUAAGGUUAUAAUUUAUAUUUGUAAAUAAAGGUAUAGACACUUAGAAAAGAGUUGAAGUU